rnacentral:misc_RNA from 1 species
GAUGAAGAACGCAGCGAAAUGCGAUAAGUAAUGUGAAUUGCAGAAUUCAGUGAAUCAUCGAAUCUUUGAACGCACAUUGCGCCCGCCAGUAUUCUGGCGGGCAUGCCUGUCUGAGCGUCAUUUCAACCCUCAUGCCCCUAGGGCGUGGUGUUGGGGAUCGACCAAAGCCCGCAAGGGACGGCCGGCCCCUAAAUCUAGUGGCGGACCCGUCGUGGCCUCCCCUGCGAAGUAGUGAUAUUCCGCAUAGGAGAAGCGACGAGCCCCUGCCGUUAAACCCCCAACUUUCUCAGGUUGACCUCAGAUCAGGUAGGAAUACCCGCUGAACUUAAGCAUAUCAAUAAGCGGAGGA